GCAAGUCGAGCGCACCCUUCGGGUCGAGCGUCGGACGGGUUAGUAACGCGUGGGAAUAUACCCUUCACUACGGAAUAGCCUCGGGAAACUGAGAGUAAUACCGUAUACGCCCUUCGGGGGAAAGAUUUAUCGGUGAUGGAUGAGCCCGCGUCUGAUUAGAUAGUUGGUGGGGUAAUGGCCUACCAAGCCUACGAUCUAUAGCUGGUUUGAGAGGAUGAUC
rnacentral:rRNA from 1 species